rnacentral:rRNA from 1 species
AAACAGGAUUAGAUACCCUGGUAGUCCGCACGGUAAACGAUGAAUGCUCGCUAUGGGCGACAGACAGUCCGUGGCCAAGCGAAAGCGUUAAGCAUUCCACCUGGGGAGUACGCCGGCAACGGUGAAACUCAAAGGGAAUUGACGGGGGCCCGCACAAGCGGAGGAACAUGUGGUUUAAUUCGAUGAUACGCGAGGAACCUUUACCCGGGCUUGAAUUGCAGAUGAAGGAUACAGAGAUGUUGACGCCCUUCGGGGCAUCUGUGAAGGUGCUGCAUGGUUGUCGUCAGCUCGUGCCGUGAGGUGUCGGCUUAAGUGCCAUAACGAGCGCAACCCUUGCUGUCAGUUGCCAUCAGGUAGAGCUGGGCACUCUGGCGGGACUGCCAUCGCAAGAUGUGAGGAAGGUGGGGAUGACGUCAAAUCAGCACGGCCCUUACGUCCGGGGCUACACACGUGUUACAAUGGGGGGUACAGAAUGUUGCUUACGGGUGACCGUUGGCGGAUCAUUAAAUCCCUUCUCAGUUCGGACUGGAGUCUGCAACCCGACUCCACGAAGCUGGAUUCGCUAGUAAUCGCGCAUCAGCCAUGGCGCGGUGAAUACGUUCCCGGGCCUUGUACACACCGCCCGUCAAGCCAUGAAAGCCGGGGGCGCCUGAAGUCCGUUACCGCAAGGAUCGGCCUAGGGCGAAACUGGUAAUUGGGGCUAAGUCGUAACAAGGUAACCGUA